UCAUUAGUUCUGUUUUGAUUUUAUGCGGGGUGUAAAUUUGAUCUUUGUUAUCUGGCAAAGCUGGCUUGGUCCCUAUGACUUUCCAACCUUUUAAAACUGAGUUCCUCAAAAAGACCAUAGGAUUUUUCACGUGGCUAAUGUUGAAGACUUCAAGAGCUCCAGCUGAAGCUUUACUAACGACCGGUGACAAGAAUGUAUUA